AACGCACAUUGCGCCCUGUGGUAUUCCACAGGGCAUGCCUGUUUGAGCGUCAUUUCUCUCUCAAACCCUUGGGUUUGGUAUUGAGUGAUACUCCCAGUCAGACUAGGCGUUUGCUUGAAAUGUAUCGGCGGAGUGGUACUUGCGCGUGACGAAAUAUCAAUGUAUUAGGUUCUACCAACUCGUUGUUUUUUCUGAAUAAGCUUGUAUCGUUGCCUCGCAGUACAAAUCAACAACCAGUUUGACCUCAAAUCAGGUAGGAUUACCCGCUGAACUUAA
rnacentral:misc_RNA from 1 species